GAUGAACGCUAGCUACAGGCUUAACACAUGCAAGUCGAGGGACCGGCGCACGGGUGAGUAACGCGUAUCCAACCUGCCCACCACUUGGGGAUAACCUUGCGAAAGUAAGACUAAUACCCAAUGGUGAUGGAUGGGGAUGCGUCUGAUUAGCUUGUUGGCGGGGUAACGGCCCACCAAGGCUACGAUCAGUAGGGGUUCUGAGAGGAAGGUCCCCCACAUUGGAACUGAGACACGGUCCAAACUCCUACGGGAGGCAGCAGUGAGGAAUAUUGGUCAAUGGACGAGAGUCUGAACCAGCCAAGUAGCGUGCAGGAUGACGGCCUAUGGGUUGUAAACUGCUUUUAUAAGGGAAUAUGUACCUUAUGAAUAAGGACCGGCUAAUUCCGUGCCAGCAGCCGCGGUAAUACGGAAGGUCCGGGCGUUAUCCGGAUUUAUUGGGUUUAAAGGGAGCGUAGGCCGGAGAUUAAGCGUGUUGUGAAAUGUAGACGCUCAACGUCU
rnacentral:rRNA from 1 species